rnacentral:lncRNA from 1 species
UUUUUUUUUCUGCAAAAUGAUGGCACAGAUGAGGGGCUUUGUUUAUUGCAAAUCAAAACUUUGCAUGUUGAUCUCUCAGAGUGGGGUGAGAGGCUCCAGAAGCUCAUCCCCUCUGCAGUCAUUAUUUAAUUCAGGCAUUAAUUUAAUUCCAUUUAAUGAUGAAGUCCCAGGGACAUGCAAUCUAGAAUGAGACUGGGGCCCGGGGAACGGGUGGGGAUGAGGCCAGCAAGCCGCUGCGGUACAGCUUAGGGUAAACAAGCGAAGUAUUAAAGCCACUUGGGAAGUAUAUUUCCACUGUAAAAGUAAACUUCUAGCUGAAUGAAGGGGAAAAAAAUCAGGCAGUGCUGGGGCCAGCACCAAUAAAACAUUUUCAGACAGAAUUCCACUUCUCGACGCACACACAAAAAAAUGUUUUCUGGGACAGAAAAUGGAAACUUGUUCCUGGCUGAGCACUGGUUCUACGCCCCUAGUGACUUGGGGUUUUCUGGUUAGAAAAUACAAAUAAUAAAAAAAAAAAGCCUGCACUUCCUCUGAAAUCCACACAGUUGCCAAGCCCUAGUGUUCUGAUGAGGAAAAAAGGCUCUGUUUGAUGUGUUUUUUUCCACACUUUGUCGCGGCAGCCCCCGGGCCAUGCAGCAGGGCGGCGGGCCCAGGGCCGCCAUUUCGCAGCCCCCGCGGCCCCGGGGCAGGGGGAUGCCCCACGGCCGGCCCCGUGCGGCGCCAGCGGAUCCCCAUUUCCUCACAGACUACAAAAUGGCGGGCGGCGCCCGGCGCGGUGCACCUUGGGAGCUGUAGUCCUGGCGUGCCGCGGCGCCGGCGGAGUGAGGCGGGGAAGUUUUUCCUCGCAAAAUGUCCCCCCAGCGGGGACAACACGGGAGACUACAACUCCCAUGAGGCAAAAGGAGCGAGAGGAGAAGCUCCCGCCCGCUUCCCGCCGCUUUGUCUGCUGGGAUUUGUAGUCCGGGCUCCGCGGGCUGCAGCGCUGCAGCGGCUCGAAAGGACUCAAUGUCCCAGCGCGCCCCGCGCCAGGGUCGGAGCCGCGGCUUGGAGGAGCGGGCUCGGCGCUGUGAGGAGGAGGAGGCGGUGGCGGGUGUGUGGCGCUGUGGGUGCGGCGCGCUUCCAGCCCCCCGCAGCCAGGCCGGGAUGGCGGAGCCCGGCCGGGAGCUUGGCGGGCAGGGAGCCGCCGUCCUGCCCGAGCCGUGCUGCCGUGGCACCGCCGCAGCGAGCCUGA